CAAUAUUUAUCUCCCCAAAAUUCCCUCUCAAAACCCCAAACCCUCAGAGGCUUCAUCAUCCCAAAUCCCUCUAAAAAUUCUACACACCAAAUUCCCAAUUCCCUCUCAAAAACCCAAACCCUCAGCCGCUUCAUCAUCGAUUCAUCCCAAAUCCAAACAAGUUUCCUACUGAUCAUCUCCUUCCAGGGCAAUAGCCUUGUAUGCUGUACAAAGUGGAACCAAGACCAGGGUUAAAGUUAAUUGGGUAAAGUCAAUUGGGUUAACGCUAAGUGUCCCUAUCAGACGGGAGGUAAAUGUGGCUACUACGUAUUGAAGUUUAUGAAAGAGGUGGUUGACGAAGAAAUUGAAAUACUUGGCAAUGACAAUGUUGGGAGAGGCAAAGCGGUAUACACGGAUGAGGAUAUUGAUGGGAUACGUGAAGGGUGUUCGAGUUAUGAGGCAGCGUUUGUUUUUAAGCGACUAUUUUAGAUGUCGAAGUAUGUACGCCAAACAAUAUUUUUUGUUAACUUAAGAUAUUUGUAUUAUUUUUUACGUAUGACUAUGAAAUGAAUUGUUUUGGUAUA